AUUGAACGCUGGCGGCAUGCCUUACACAUGCAAGUCGAACGGCAGCAUGAUCUAGCUUGCUAGAUUGAUGGCGAGUGGCGAACGGGUGGGUAAUACAUCGGAACGUGCCCUGUAGUGGGGGAUAACUAGUCGAAAGAUUAGCUAAUACCGCAUACGACCUGAGGGUGAAAGUGGGGGACCGCAAGGCCUCAUGCUAUAGGAGCGGCCGAUGUCUGAUUAGCUAGUUGGUGAGGUAAAGGCUCACCAAGGCGACGAUCAGUAGCUGGUCUGAGAGGACGAUCAGCCACACUGGGACUGAGACACGGCCCAGACUCCUACGGGAGGCAGCAGUGGGGAAUUUUGGACAAUGGGCGAAAGCCUGAUCCAGCAAUGCCGCGUGUGUGAAGAAGGCCUUCGGGUUGUAAAGCACUUUUGUCCGGAAAGAAAUGGCUCUGGUUAAUACCUGGGGUCGAUGACGGUACCGGAAGAAUAAGGACCGGCUAACUACGUG
rnacentral:rRNA from 1 species